rnacentral:lncRNA from 1 species
AGGACCACAUAUGCCUUAAGUAGAUUAUUAUAAGUGAUGGAGAGCAAGUUUGGAAGUAAAUGCCAAAGCACAAAGAUGCCUUGCUGUAUUGAGAGAGGAACAGAUAAAUGCUAUGCAAUCAUUGAGUUUCCAGAUGAUGGUAUUUAACUUGUACCGAAACUUUGGUUAUGUGAUGAUGCCUGUGGCCUAACUAUGUGAAUCAACUAAACAUGAACAAUAGCUGCUUACAGGACACAGAAAGGAGAGGACCAGUAGCAGCAUCUCCAAAGAAAGCAGUAAUUCAAAUGUGGGGAAAUUGGAGUAAAUGUAUUAAUCUAGUUAUUUAUUGUAUAAAUAGAAGUUAAAUUAAUUUAAAAAUUGUUUUAUUAUAUUCAUAGUUUAUUAUUUUUAAUGCAUUUUAUUUUUUCUUGUUAAUCAUACAUAUUUCAAUAUAUA